rnacentral:lncRNA from 1 species
AUCACUGAUUUUGUUCUCGAUUUUAUACCAAGCGUCUUUCAAUUUUGUAUGAUAUUGAAAACUUGUAUUUGCAAUUCUGUAUUAUAUUUCAGCAUUUUUCUAAUUUGAAUAGAAUAAUGUGAAACUGAUGAACGAUUUGACACGUUUAUAAUUCAACCUUGAAAGUCAGAAACUAUUUAUAUUGAGGGUGUUAAACGAUAUAUAGACGUCUUAAUGUGUAACCAUCAUGUACUAUCUUGUAAACAUAAAUGAAUCAUAUACAACAAAAAAGAACAUCAGAAUAUAAAUUUCGUAUAACCCUGUUGACCUUGUUGGUAGGGUGCUACACAAGUGCAGUAGGAGUUGCCAGAAUUUAUAAGAGAUUCAAAUCCUGCAGAAAAGACACAGUUUUGCUAUAACAAAUUUGAAGAUGCUUUGUAUGCCUCUAUAAGCCCAUUUUAUAUUUCUAAAUAUUGUUAUCUUCAUUUUUAUUUUUUCAACGUUAUAGAUAAAAACUGUUGUUGCCCGAACAAUGUAAGCAAUGUAUUUGUUCUACUGGUAUUUGGAUGUAUACACACAAAUGCAAAAAUGAUCGUUGCGUGACUAUUAUGUUUAUGUAUAUUUUUACUACCAAUCAUUAAAGAAUUUUUAAUUUUUAAUGUAAACAGUUAUAAUGUAUGUAUUACAACCAUGAUUAACACGUCUGUAAGUGUAUUUUUUCAUCUUUUUUUAACUUGUGAAUUGUAUUUAAGGAUGUACACCUCUGAGGAGCCAAAAAUUUCUAGAAUUAAACUUUUUUUCUUAACCUGAUUUUUGGUUAAAGACUGUAACAAAAUAAUUGGUGAAGAAAAAAUCACAUGGUGGUGCACUUCUUUUUUUGCUACGGCCCUUUGAAAAUGCCCAAUUUUGAUGAUUUUCCCAUUUUUCAUUGAUGUUUACCUAUUUUUGGGCUAUUAGAGUGAAAAAAGUCACAGUUCCACAAUUAAACUUUUUUUCCAUACUUUCUAUAAAGAUGAAAUGGACCAAUCCGCAUAAAUUUUACUUAAAAAAACUAUAGGUAGGUGUUAAUAUAAGAAAGUUUUAUCAU